rnacentral:tRNA from 1 species
AGAAAGUUAGUCCAACCGAGACA